rnacentral:rRNA from 1 species
CAAGGGUUUGAUCAUGGCUCAGAACGAACGCUGGCGGCAGGCCUAACACAUGCAAGUCGAGCGAGAACUUCGGUUCUAGCGGCGGACGGGUUAGUAACGCGUGGGAAUAUGCCCUUCACUACGGAAUAGUCCCGGGAAACUGGGUUUAAUACCGUAUACGCCCUUCGGGGGAAAGAUUUAUCGGUGAAGGAUUAGCCCGCGUUGGAUUAGGUAGUUGGUGGGGUAAUGGCCUACCAAGCCGACGAUCCAUAGCUGGUUUGAGAGGAUGAUCAGCAACACUGGGAC